AAGACCCUACCAUUUCCCUCAUCUCUCUCAAGACACUCAACCCUAGCUGCCUUCUAUCACUCAAAGAAUACUCGCUGGCGGCACCACGCCAAAUGACCUCAAACCUUCACCUUGCAAUUCCCAAACCUCCCCUAGUCCAAAUCCAUUUGUAGUUUCCUCCAAUUCCUCCUCAAACUCAUCACUUUUCAUAUCUCAAAACUAAACCCUAGCCGCCCUUUUCCUCUUCUAAUUACUCGACUGUUCCCCCAUCCGUUUAUGGUCGAAAUUUACGGCAUUGGAAAGCUCUUGAUGAGAGCUAUACGCUGAUGUAAAUUUCAUGCCGUAUCUCAGAGAUUGCAUUUUGGUUGGAGCCGUGUUUGUUUAUCGGGAUUUCGUCGGGGUUCUAUGUUCGUUUCUCUUAAAAGUUAAUAGGUAAUUUCUUUUUUUUUUCUUUCCUUACUGAUUAAUCGAAGUAUGUCGCUUUUCUUAAAAAGAAUUUUUGAAAAUUGAUUCAUAGUCUCAGUUUUGCAUGACUUGUUUAAUUGCAUGAUUUGUUAGAUUAAUUUUUUUAGGAUCAAUUUAGAUGACAAAAAAAUUAUCCGAUUAAUUGGUACAAUUGUCAAUUCUGUUUGAUUUCUAUUCUGAUUGAUUGUCUUGUUGUGAUUGAAUUUGAAAGAAGUAGGAAGAAUUUGUUAUUUGAGGAUUUAAGAGUAAAAUCCAGAAGUUAGGAGGUAAAAAGAAAUAGGAAAAGAUUAGUUGAAGCACAAGUGUCCAUUUUCGGUUAAAAAGAUGCCUUACCUCAUAUUUUUUAGCUGACAGAAUCUUUUACAUUCCUCUCGCAUUUUCCUCACAAGUGCACACUCCUACACUCUAUAUAAUAGACCUCACAUUCCCUCAUACAGACACAUAGAAUUCUCUAAAAAAUAUACAAUCCUUUCUUUUUCAUUUUAUUUAUAUUCUGCAUUUUUUUUUUUUGAAAAAACAUUCUGAAAUUUGAAGAAAAAAAAGAGGAAGCUGAGGGUUCAAAAGCUUUCUAGGUUGAUUGCAGUGCUGUUAGUUUGUUUAAGAAUUUCUGGGGUUUGAGAGUUUAAUUCAAUCUCAAAAACCUUGUUAAUUGUUGUUUUUCGCUGGUUCUCUGUUGCUUCUUGGAUAUAAUGAGCUUUGCUCUUCCAUUAGCUUUUAUUUGGCCAUUUUUUCUCUGUUUAUCCUGUUUUUAAGGUACACGCUAGAAUUCUAUGUAUUCUUGCUUGAGUAUAUUGAUUAAUUGAUUAGAAUUGCUUCUGAAUUUGUUGGACGGAUCUUAUUUAAGUUCAAUUGUUGUGUUUUAUGAAUCAGUAACAUCUUAUGAUGUUGUGUUUAUGAAAUAUUUGUGUUUGAUUCCAACUUUGCAAACCUGUGCUGUUCCACGAAAUCAAGUGCAUUAGAAGUGGGUUCAGUAAUCUGCCAGGAGAGUUAGAUAGCGUUAUUUAUUUAUUAGAGCGAUUCAACUCGCAAUAGCAUAUUUGUUCAAGUAUAUGAUCUUGUUAAUUACCAUUUUCAGAUUUUUUGGGUUAUAAUUAUCUUUCAUGAUGUUAAUUACCUUUAGUAAUGCAUAUCAUUAGUAAUUUACUAAAUUUGGGUCCCCAAAGUUUCUAGUAUUUUUCGUGACACAGACCAUUAAUUUUCUUAAGGUUCUUACAAAUUUUUCAAAUAAUUCCCUAUAAUAUCUUUCCUUACAAUAAUCCCAAACAUAGGAAAUGAACAAUCAUGAAUACGAUAGCAUGCUUUAGACACGCUAUUAAUUAAUCAAAUUAUCGUAAUUAUGUACACAUUCGCGUGACAUGAUUAUGAUUUUUCCCAAAUAAAUCAAGGUACGCGUUCAAGUGACAUAGGUCAAAAGUAAUCAUAAAUUAAUAAAGCGUGAUUAAUUGUGUACAUGUGCGCCUGACAUGAUUUUAGCGCCCCAAAUAAAACGGAUUUUCACAUAUGUAAUCCGUUUCAAAGAUUAAAUCCAUGAACACCAUAUAUUAAAAGCGGUAAAAGGUAAAAGUACAUAGGUUAUAAAAUGAGUAAUUAAAUAAUUAAUUAAGCUAGGUAUGAUCAAAGCGACCGUGCUAAAACUACAAAAUCCGGGAGUACCUAACACCUUCUCCUGGAUUAAUAGAAUUUCUUACCUGGUCUUUUGUGUUCGCAGACUUUAAAACAAAGUCAAAUUUCCUAGAUUUGGGAUUUAAAAUAAACCAGUAACUUGGGACACCACAAUAAAUAUCCAAGUGGCGACUCUAAAAUUAAAUAAAUAAUCAUGUUUCAAUUGAUGUCACUUUAAUUGGAAAAACUCCCUAUCCCCUUGGGAAAAAGGAGGUAUGACACUUAAAUUGUCAGCAGGUGAAGUAUGAGCAUCAACGGCUGGGCGGUUUGCUUUAAAGACUCGAUAUUCCCGAGUGAAAAUAGGAGCAUGUCACCAUGGACUUCAUUGUUGGGCUCCCACAGGCUUAGAAGAAAUUUGACGCGGUAUGGGUUAUUUUGGACAAGUUGACCAAGUCGGCUCAUUUUAUUCUAGUAGUGACUACCUAUUCUUCAAAGAAGCUAGCUCAGAUCUAUAUCCGCGAGAUUGUCCGACUUCAUGGCAUGGCGGUAUCCAUUAUCUCUGACCGGGAUACGCAGUUCACAUCACAUUUCUGGAGAUUUGUACAACGUGAGCUAGGCACACCAUUGAGUUGAGUACAAUAUUUCACCCUUAGAUGGACGGACAGUCCGAGUGCACCAUUUAAAUAUUGGAGGAUAUGAUUCGUGCUUGUGUUAUGGAUUUCGGGGGUUCUUGGGAUUAGUUCCUGCCGCUUGUGGAGUUUGCCUACAACAACAACUACCAAUCGAGUAUUCAACUGGCUCCUUAUAAGGCCCUAUAUGGGAUACGGUGGCGUUCCCUAGUUGGAUGGUUUUAUCCAGGAGAGGCUAAGUUAUUAGCACAGAUUUGGUUCGAGAUUCCUUGGAGAAGGUCAAGAUGAUCCAGGAUCGGCUUCGUAUAACCCAAUCUAGACAGAAGAGUUAUGCGGAUAGGAAGCUUCAUGAUGUUACAUUCAUGGUUGAAAAGAGAGUCUUGCUCUAGGUUUCACCCAUGAAGGGUGUGAUGAGGUUCAAAAAGAAGGGCAAGUGGAACACUAGGUAUAUCAGACCUUUUGAGAUCCUUGAGAGGAUUGGUGAGGUGGUCUACAAGCUAGUAUUUCCACCUAGUUUCUUUACAGUUCUCCGGUGUUCCAUAUUUCUAAGUUUGGCAAGUAUUAUGGUGAUCUGUCACAUGUUUUAGACUUCAGCACAGUCCAAUUGGACGAGGAUUUGACUUAUAUUGAGGAGCCAGUGGCUAUCUUGGACAGACAGGUCCGAAAGUUGAGAUCAAAGAAUAUUGCUUCAGUUAAGGUUCAAUGGAGGGGUCAUCUGGUCGAGGAGGCAACCUGGGAGACCGAGCAUGACAUAUAUAGUCGUUAUCCUCAUCUAUUCAUCACUUCAAAUAUGUCCUUAUGCACGUUUGAGAGCAAACAUUUAUUUUAAGAGGAGGAGAAUGUAUCGACCCAAUUCGUCAUUUUGUGUAAUUAUGCCCCGUUACCCCUUUUUAUACUUCACACAUGUGUGUUUAUGAUUUUAUGACUUGCGGGUCGGUUAGUUUCGUUCCGGGAAUCUUUCGGGUUGAUUUGGACCCUUUGAUUCUUGACUAAGAAGUCUAAGUUAGAAAUGAUGACAACUUUGAAUUUUGUGAAAACGACCUUUGAACGGUAUUUUGAUGGCUCCAAUAGCUUUGUAUUGCAAUUUCGGACUUGGGCGUAUGCCCAUAUUUGAUUUUGGAAAUGCGUAGGUUGAUUUAUGUUUUUUUCCAAAAUUUAGCAAUUUGAAGUUGAAAGGUUUAACCGCAGGUUGGCUUUUAGCUAUUUGGCUCGGAAUUUGAUUUUGGGACUUGGAAUAGUUUCAUUAUUCUAUUUGAAACUUUUUUACAAAAUUUGGUAUCGUUUGGAGUUGAUUUGAUAGGAUUCAGACGUUUAGUUGUAAUUCUAGAGAUUCUUGAACUUUACUUUGAAAUUCAAGCUUUUUAGUGUUUGAUUCGUAGUUUUAGAAGUUAUUUUUGUAUUAGUUCAUAUGAUAUUUUUAGACUUGUGUGGAUUUUUGGUUUGGAGCCCCGAAGGCUCAGAUGAGUUUCGGAUAUGCUUCAUAAAGUUUUGAUCCGAAAAAUAAAAAUCUAGUGUCUGGUGCCUCUGGUGUCGCUUUUGCGAAUGCCAGAGUCGCAUUUGCGACUUUAGCAGGGAACCACAGGUAUCGCAAUUGCGAUUCCUGGGUCACAUUUGCGAUGAUGCUUGGGAUGGUCUAUGAUCACAUUUGCGAGUGGGACUGGGUACGCAAUUGCGAAGCCUUCUUCGCAUUUGCGAGAAGUCCCCCCAACCCUGUUAGUGCCGCAAUUGCGAGAUUAUCUUCGCAGUUGCGAGGGUUCGUAUAUCGCAAUUGCGAUAAUCGCAGCUGAACAUAAGGGCUGGAACUCGGGAUUUCAUCUUAUAUUCUCUCAUUUUAGAAUGCUAGACUCGGUAGGAGGCGAUUUAUAGAGGGGAUCUUUAUCUACAAACUUUGGAUAAGUGAUUCUAAUCUAUUUUCAAUGAUAUUCCAUCAAUAUUUCUUAGAUAUUAACAUCAAAAUCAUGUGAAUCAAAGUGAAAAUUUGUGAAACUUUGUCAAGUUUUUGAUUUUUUUUUUUUUGAAUUUUGAGAGUUGCUUUGGACUCAAAUUUUGAAACUAAUCACAUAUAUGAACUCGUGGGACCAUGAGUAGUUGGAAUCUACUAUUGGAUUAGAAUUUUGACCGGGCAAGCUUUGAGUUGGCUUUUUUUGACUUUUUAAAAAACUGUAAAGAUCAUGGCUUUAUCCAUUAUAAUUGAUUUCUCUUGCAUUGUUUAAUGAUAUUAGAUCGAUUUUGUUAGAUUUGAGCUGUGCGAAGGCGAAUUUUUUUUUUUUGGGGGGGGGGGGGAAGCAUUUGAGAGAGUUGAAUUGACCUAGUUGAGGUAAAUAUCUUGCCUAACUUUGUGUAGGGGAACUACCCCUUAGGAUUUGGGAUUGAUUGUGUCUUUUGUGCUAUGUAAAAGCCGUGUAUGCAAGGUGACGAGGAGUAUACGGGUUGUAUGUGGUAUUUGACCAGUUUAGGCUACUUAGACUCUUUCCAUGCUUUAAUUGAAAUGUCUUAUCAUGUUCUAAAUUCUCAUAGUCAAUCUAUUCUUACUUGUGUUAGUCUAUCCUUACAUGCCUUAAAUGACUUGUUUAACACUUGUUCUACAUCCUACUUGAUAAAUUGCUCUCAUACUUUAGUUGAAUUUGUUGCCCCUUUUUAUUGUUAAUGUUAUCUCUUUCAUUGUUGAGUAUCAUUAUUUGAAAUUAUUUUUACAAGUUAUCUCUUUCAUCGUUAUUUUUCUUAUUUGAAGUCAUGUUUUCUCUUUCAUUGUGAGUUAUUUGUAUUUAGUUCGUGGUUACACAUUAUUUUUCUCAUUGUUGAGUUAUUGAUGUUGAAAUUGUGAAAGCAGUAUCACUUUGAGGCGAAGUUAUCAAUUGUUGAGAUACCUUUCUUGUUAAGAAUUUUACAUUCAUUGUUAUUGUUGAUAUUUUUGUACACAAUGUGGUGGAGCCAUGUGCUAUUGUUUUGGAGAUAUUGAUACUGUUGAUUGUUGGAAAGUUAUGAUAUAUGGGCAUUUGUGGUGCGAAUUAUUAUUUGAUGUGAUAUUGAUGUGCAUGCGGUAGUAUAAGGCUAGGGGUUAAUGUGCAUGCGGCGGUAUAAGGUGGGACUUAAGUGCGUGUUGCUUGUAGGGGAACUACGUGAAGCUACAUAACGUCAUAAGGUGAACUAAAGUGUGUGUAGCUAUUUCGGGCAACAAUAUUUUCUAAACUAUUUAAAUAUAAGGCUCACGCGGUGGUAUAAGAAAAUAUUGUGAUGAGAUUGUGAAUUGUGAAUACGAGGCGGUACCUCGAUUGUGAUUCUUUUGUACACGAGGUCGUACCUCGUUGUGAUUCUUGUUGUUUAUUUCGGGUUGUAAAGAGUUAUUUGGUGGGAAUACUUGUUGUUUUGUUCUUCCUUAUUCUAUCAGUUAUUGUCCAUAUAUGAUCAUUGUGGUUCUCUUCAAUUGAUUUCUUUAUGUUAUUUACAUGCUUACGAUUCCGGUAUUAGUUCAUUCCAUUAACUUGUUUCAUAUCAAUUAUUUUUUCGCUUUCUAUUAUUUAUCCUUAAAAUGUUUUCAUACUUCUUAUUUAUAUAUCCUAGUAGGUGUCUUGACCUGGCCUCGUUACUACUCUACCGAGGUUAGGUUUGAUACUUAUUGGGUACCGUUGUGGUGUACUUAUACUAUGCUUCUGCACAUCUUUUUGUGCAGAUUCAGAUAUGUCUUCUCGUGUCGGACGUUAGUGAUCGAUUGUUAAUUGCUUACGGAGACUUCAAGGUAUGUCUGCUCGGCGUCUGCAGGCCUCGGAGUCAGCUUCCUUUACUUUUAUUACCGUUGUAUUUUUCAUUCAGACAGUGAUGUAGUAAACAUUUUAGCUUACUCUGUAGAGCUUAUGACUCAGUUUCACCGGUUUUGAAAAAGUAUUUGUUAAAUUUUGUUUCGGAAGAUUAUAUGAAUUUAUUAGACUUGUUUUAGUAUUUCUGUUAA
rnacentral:lncRNA from 1 species